GUGUUGUGUGAAAGGAGAGAAGGUUGGAACUCCCUUUGACAAGGAUGGAAGAGGCCCUCGGCCCUGACAACAUCAUACAGUUGAGGCAUUUCACCUACUUUGUGGUGUCUAACCAUCUUGAUGG